ACAUACCUGAACUAUAGAACUAUCAUUACAAUAAUAUCAAAUAAUGAGUAGUUCACUACAGAUAAAUUCAAUUAAAUGUUUUUACGCUUUCAACCAACAACCACCGUUUUGUAAGACUCAAAUCCUAAAAGGUUAACAGCAGUAUAUCGAAAGUAUUGAACAUUCUAUUAAUAUUUAUCAUUACAAUAUUAGAUAAAUUACUUGGAAAAAAAGAGAUGAUGAAAAUAAUGAAAAAUUGUAUGUGGAAAUAUAUUUACCAAAAUGUAUUAGAAACUUCGGUCAUAGCAAACAGCAAUUAAGGAUCUAUAUGGAAUUAAUUCCCUCAUACAGAAACAAAUUUUAGUAUAAUAUAAUUCCGAGGUGGUAGUAUUAUCUACUUUUAAAAAUUCGCAAAAUCCCAGUACACUUCCUGCACCCAAUGUAAUCUGCAGGAUCAAUAACAUCCAAUUCCUACCUACUUUUCUGCACUUGAUGAUCUGAAAUGUUCAUGAUCCCAACAAGAUUGUAAUGAAUAAUUACCUUACUGUUCCGUAACUCUUACAUGGUUUUUUGAAUCCUUAGAAGCUAAUGGAGGAUAUGACAAUGGUCAAUUACAUACCUGCGAUGAUUCUGGUAAAAGUUGUCAAGCUGAUAAUACACAUAAAUAGGCUGCUUCAUGUGCUUAGUCACCUGAAAGAGAAAAUGUAGUUAAAAAGUAGAUCAGUUUAUCAAUUGAAUAAGGAUAUCAUGCUUGCCAAUAGCUAUGUUUUGCUGGCUCAUUUGAUAUAUGAGAUGACCACGUACUGUAAUUCAUGUUAAAGAACCAAUUACUACUCCAGUAACAUCAGCCACUGAUAAUAUUAUUUACAACACAGAAAACAACAACAACAAUUAAUAGUGAUUGUAACAGUAAUACACUCAUGCAGAGUACCCUUACUUUUAAUGUCCUGUUGCAUGUUGUAUUAGCAGAACUUCGAAUAUAUCCAACCUUAUCGGUUCUAUUUUGUUCAGGAAUGCAUUCAGUGUCAUAGCGGUCAACAAUUUCAACAACCUGAUUAAACAGCAGGAAAUCCACAAUCAAAUACAAAUAUAACUGUAAAAGAUAUGCAUGACAUCAUGAUUAUGGGAAAAAUCAAGCUU
rnacentral:misc_RNA from 1 species